rnacentral:rRNA from 1 species
AGUGAACGCUGGCGGUAGGCCUAACACAUGCAAGUCGAACGGCAGCACAGUAAGAGCUUGCUCUUACGGGUGGCGAGUGGCGGACGGGUGAGGAAUACAUCGGAAUCUACUUUUUCGUGGGGGAUAACGUAGGGAAACUUACGCUAAUACCGCAUACGACCUACGGGUGAAAGCAGGGGAUCUUCGGACCUUGCGCGAUUGAAUGAGCCGAUGUCGGAUUAGCUAGUUGGCGGGGUAAAGGCCCACCAAGGCGACGAUCCGUAGCUGGUCUGAGAGGAUGAUCAGCCACACUGGAACUUAGACACGGUCCAGACUCCUACGGGGGGCAGCAGUGGGGAAUAUUGGACAAUGGGCGCAAGCCUGAUCCAGCCAUACCGCGUGGGUGAAGAAGGCCUUCGGGUUGUUAAGCCCUUUUUUUGGGAAAGAAAAGCAGCAGGUUAAUACCCCGCUGUUCUGACGGUACCCAAAGAAUAAGCACCGGCUAACUUCGUG